AUCCAGCUGACGAGUCUUAUAUCAGGCGAAAGGAGCGUCCUGGAU
rfam:Schistosoma mansoni, Puerto Rico, WGS project CABG01000000 data, contig: 0149